CAUGUCUUUUUGAUUUUAAUUUAAGGUCUAAUCUGCUCAAUGAUUAUUUAAAUUGCCGCAGUAUUUUAACUGUGCGAAGGUAGCAUAAUAAUUAGUUUCUUAAUUAGGGGCUGGAAUGAAUGAUUGAACGAGAAAAUUACUGUCUCUUUUUAAUUGAUAAUUGAAUUUUAUUUUUAAGUUAAAAAGCUUAAAUUUUAAUAAAAGACGAGAAGACCCUAUAGAGUUUAAUAUUAAUAUUUUUUUAUUUUUUAGUAAUUUAAAUUUAAUUAAAUAUUUAGUUGGGGUGACUCAAAGAUUAGAUUAAUUCUUUGAUUUUUAAAUUGUUGAUAAAUAAUUUUAUAAUCUAUAUUUUUAAAUAUAAUAUAAAUUACCUUAGGGAUAACAGCGUUAUUUUUCUUUAAAGUUCUUAUUAAAAGAAAAGUUUGCGACCUCGAUGUUGGAUUAAAAUUAAUUUUUGGAGUAGUUACUUUAAAAUUAGGUCUGUUCGACCUUUGAAAUUUUACAUGAUCUGAGU
rnacentral:rRNA from 1 species